CCUACGGGUGGCAGCAGUCGAGAAUCAUUCACAAUGGGGGAAACCCUGAUGGUGCGACGCCGCGUGGGGGAAUGAAUGUCUUCGGAUUGUAAACCUCUGUUAUGUGGGAGCAAAUUAAAAAGAUAGUACCACAUGAGGAAGAGACGGCUAACUCUGUGCCAGUAGCCGCGGUAAUACAGAGGUCUCAAGCGUUGUUCGGAAUCACUGGGCGUAAAGCGUGCGUAGACUGUUUCGUAAGUCGUGUGUGAAAGGCGCGGGCUCAACCCGCGGAGGGCACAUGAUACUGGGAGACUAGAGUAAUGGAGGGGGAACCGGAAUUCGCGGUGUAGCAGUGAAAUGCGUAGAUAUCGAGAGGAACACUCAUGGCGAAGGCGGGUUCCUAGACAUUAACUGACGCUGAGGCACGAAGGCCAGGGGAGCGAAAGGGAUUAGAUACCCUUGUAGUC
rnacentral:rRNA from 1 species